GUGAUCAGCACUGAACAGACUCACCAUGGAGUUGGGGCUGAUCUGGGUUUUCCUUGUUGCUCUUUUAAAAGGUGUCCAGUGUGAGGUGCAGCUGGUGGAGUCUGGUGGAGGUUUGGUGCAGCCUGGGGGAUCCUUGAAACUCUCCUGUGCAGCCUCUGGAUUCACCUUCAGUGAUUAUGUGAUGAGCUGGUUCCGCCAGACUCCAGAGAAGAGGCUUGAGUGGAUCUCAGCCAUCAGUAAUGAUGGUAGUGGUACAGAAUACACAGAAUCUGUGAAAGGCAGAUUCACCAUCUCCAGAGACAAUGCCAAGAACACCCUGUACCUGCAAAUGAACAGGCUGAAAUCUGAGGACACAGCCACUUAUUGGUGUUGGCUGCAGGUCCCAGGCUUGGCGGCUUCAGGCUCAUUAUUUUAUUUUCAUUAA